rnacentral:rRNA from 1 species
UACGAAGGGGGCUAGCGUUGCUCGGAAUCACUGGGCGUAAAGCGCACGUAGGCGGACUCUUAAGUCAGGGGUGAAAUCCUGGAGCUCAACUCCAGAACUGCCUUUGAUACUGGGAGUCUUGAGUUCGGGAGAGGUGAGUGGAACUGCGAGUGUAGAGGUGAAAUUCGUAGAUAUUCGCAAGAAUACCAGUGGCGAAGGCGGCUCACUGGCCCGAUACUGACGCUGAGGUGCGAAAGCGUGGGGAGCAAACAGG